rnacentral:lncRNA from 1 species
CCCAUUUCGAUCGCUACUGUACAGUCAAUGGCGGCAUGGCGGAGUCGCGCAUUGGAACUUGGAAGUGGAUGCAUGUACGACUUGAGGUGGCGUUGCAUGUGGGAGGCCCCGUCGGUAAUGUUCGCAGACUGGUCAUUUGAUGAUACGUGUGCACAGUGGUAGUGAUUGGGUGCCUCAAGAGGGAAUCGCAGAGCAUAACCACCCAUAGAGCUAAAAGUCAUGGAAGAUUUUUAAAAUUGUUAUUUGAUUUUGUGUUGUUACAGCAGUAGUAUGUCCUUCAACAAUCUGUUAUGUCUAACCAUGGAAUGAGUUGCAUGUGACUAAGUCAACCAAACGGGGCAACAACAAUUAGUCAGCAAUGGAAUUAGUCAGUGGAGAACAACAUUCAUUCCUGAGCAUGAUUGAAAUUUGCCAUGUUUUCAGGCCAACUGGAAGGAUUUUUCUUUUUCACAGAACUUUACCAUUUUCAUGGUAUACUUAAUUGCUUGUCAGUGGAUUGUCACUUGGCAUCGUUUGAAUGAUUCACAAUAGUAAUGGAUUCGAAGAGGAUAUUGAUGGAGUUUUGGUAUAAAAAAGUAUAAGUAUAUGUUCGUUGGAAGGGCAACCGAAGAGUUCCGGAUCCUUUUACUAUCGCACAUGUUACGUGUGUGUAAAACUAAAGGCUAAAAGAAGAAUGAUUCAAAAAUUGUGGGAGAGAAUCAUCAAAGAAUUAUACUCGUUUAGGUAAUCCAAGGAAAUAAGAAAGAGUAUUAACUCGGCGUAGUCUUCGAUUCCGUCUUUUUAAAAGCUGUUUUUUCUGUGCGUGGAACUUUUUUGGUCGAGACGUUAUGGGUGUCUUAAAGGCACUGAAGGUUGCAUUAGGUCCCAAACAAAAAGGGAACGCUGAAAAUCGAUGGCGAUGGGAAUUAGUGGCAAUGUUACUGUGUAGAUAACUUCAGAAAGUGUGACUCCAGCUAAUGUAAACCGCACCAGCUCUGCUAUUACCAAGUCUGUCUCACUUUUGCCGCCUAGCAGGAAAAGGUUGUGAGAGUAGCAGAAGAAUAGGAAAUUGCAGUAAACCCGGUUUUGAAAGAAGCCAAACUUUCCGAUGAUAUGGGAGCCCAGCCUGUGGAAACAAAAACCCUAUGUUUCAGAUAGAAAGACAAAAGGAACACAUCGUUCAUAAGCUACUUCUGAGGACCACUGUCACCGAAAGAAAAAUCACAUCGCUUAUAGACUCGACAGCGAGACCCAAAAACUUGCAACAACGAAGCAAGUGCUCCACUGUUACAGACCGCAAUGUGUAAAUGCGUCACAUCCGGGAAAUUAAUACUGCAGUAACCAGAGCGGUUAAAAAAAUGGCACCAACUCCUACAUAUCAGAUGAUGAAAAUCCUACUCGUUUUGUCAUGGGAUCACUAUUUCCGGAGAUAUUGGCUACUUCCGGUUACUUCCGGAAAAUUUUUGUGACAAUCAGCAAAAAGGAAAAAAUAAGCUGUAUUUUUAUAACAAUUUCAAAUACUUUUCUCGUAUGCGUAAGGGUGUGGUAGCUAUUAUUCCAUGUUUUUCUUGCUUAGACACUACAGGCUGAUCCUACGAGCUACGGCAGUUUUACCUACAAAUGUUUAGCGUUUCGUGCUGCAACUAGAGUUGAUAUUCCAGGAUGUUAUGCCUAAAUUUGGAAUUCAGCUAUCAGAGAUUAGCAAAAUUGAAGUACUUAAACGCAAGUAUUGUUCUUGACGGGAUAGUUAUAUGGGACAGCUGACAUACCUAUACAAAUUCUACGGAGUUAGUUAUUUCUCCCCUAGAUGUCUUGUAAGACAUAUAUGAUACGUCAGUUGUCCUGUCAGCUGUUCCAUUUCGCGUGGCUUCGGACUGAGGAUGUCUGCUGAAACAAACUUCUCUCUUCUUGAAAAUUUUCCACCGAUUCCGUCUGUUUUGAGUUGCAUCUUGUGAAUUCACUCAAGGCAGAGUCUUCAAGGAGGAACAUGGCUUGGCUUUGCUAUCACAUUUUUCCUCUACGUUAGUCUAAUAUACCCAUUUUGCACCAAAGGUCUUUGGGGGUGUACCUGAUGUACUGUGGUGGUCGUAAAAUCAUUCAGUGAUUUAGUUCAAUCCAGGACUUGGUUUUUCGAUAGUGGUUUACAGUUUUUAUUUGCAGAGAUCCUGGAGCCAUCUGAUGUGUUUCAUUGACGUUGGAGUCAAUCGGUGAUAGAAGAGAAUGCCGCUAAGGUUAUGUUGUCAGUGUAAAUAAAACAUAUCCAGUAUCAUUCUUGUAUUUGUUGAAUUAUCACCUCAUUCAAUGGAAACAAAGAAGUUAAAGAUGGUAAUGGUUAAUUCCUUUUGUGAUGACACUAUGUGAAGUUAGUUUUUUAAAGUCAUUUUUUCCCUUUUUUUUUGCCAAGUGAUUAUACUUGAAGUCAAAUGGAA